AAUAGCAAAAGAUAUUUAAUACACUCUUGAGGCAACAGCAUAAAUGCACAAUUGAUACUGGGAUCACUGACAUGAACUGUCAGUCUAAUUCAACUUACCUGUAAAAACUAAUAUCAUUAAAAGAAGAUACAAUUAAUGGACAAACGACAGAAAAUAUUUAUAGCCUGAUGCAGCUGGUGUCACUUUUAAAUACAUGGCCAUUCUAUUGAACUUUCUACUUGUCAUUUUAUUCACGUUUAGAUUCCUUUUCUUAUUAUUCCUCAAGUUCGUUCACAAGCUACACAGUUAUACCCAAAGGUCAUACUAGUUGGUAUAAGAACUCCAUUUCUGUUAGUUUUGGGGGGGGGGGGGGGG
rnacentral:lncRNA from 1 species